rnacentral:pre_miRNA from 14 species
AGCGAGGUAGUGAGAGUGGAGGGAGAAAGCCGCUGGUGUCUCCGGGCACGCCAGCGGCUUUCUCCCUCCACUCUCACUGCCUCGCUC